rnacentral:lncRNA from 1 species
UCCAUUGACAACCUUUCCUGUUCUUUCUCUUUUUUUUUUUUUUUUUCAUUUUGUCCCUCUUCUCUUCUCUAUUUUUCUUAUCACUAUCAUUUUGCUUCGUUAAAUCUAUUUUUUCCACUAAUCAAGUGCUUGUUCUUCACUAUUUGAUGGUGAAAUUGGUGAUUGAUGAAAAAAUUAGUAGCGGAUAUGUUUUUGUUUUUGAUGAUUGAAAAUGAUAAUGUUGUGAUUUUGAUGGUGAAUGCAAAACUUUGUGGUGAUUGUUGUUGUGAAUUUCGAUAAUAACAAUGGUGGUGGUGUAAUUUUUGUGGUGGAUCUUGUGAAGAAAAUUAAUAUGUGACUUUUGAUAUCAAUUUUUUGUGGGUUAUCUUAAAAUUCUCUUGUAAAGAUUUGAACUUUUUAGCAUUAUUAUGAUGAAAAUUGAAGUUUUUAAGUAAAUUUGUGUGUG